UUAAGCAUAUCAAUAAGCGGAGGAAAAGAAACCAACAGGGAUUACCUCAGUAACGGCGAGUGAAGCGGUAAUAGCUCAAAUUUGAAAUCUGGCUCUUUCAGGGUCCGAGUUGUAAUUUGUAGAAGAUGCUUCGGGUGUGGCACCGGUCUAAGUUCCUUGGAACAGGACGUCAUAGAGGGUGAGAAUCCCGUAUGUGACUGGCUGCCUCCGCCCAUGUGAAGCUCUUUCGACGAGUCGAGUUGUUUGGGAAUGCAGCUCUAAAUGGGUGGUAAAUUUCAUCUAAAGCUAAAUAUUGGCCAGAGACCGAUAGCGCACAAGUAGAGUGAUCGAAAGAUGAAAAGCACUUUGGAAAGAGAGUUAAACAGUACGUGAAAUUGUUGAAAGGGAAGCGCUUGCAACCAGACUUGCCCGCGGUUGAUCAUCCGGUGUUCUCACCGGUGCACUCUGCCGCGUUCAGGCCAGCAUCGGUUUUGGUGGUUGGAUAAAGGCCCUGGGAAUGUGGCUCCUCUCGGGGAGUGUUAUAGCCCUGGGUGCAAUGCAGCCUACCGGGACCGAGGACCGCGCUUCGGCUAGGAUGCUGGCGUAAUGGUUGUAAGCGACC
rnacentral:rRNA from 1 species